AGAGUUUGAUCCUGGCUCAGAAUCAACGCUGGCGGCGUGCCUAACACAUGCAAGUCGAACGAGGUCCAUCCAGUGGCAACACUGGUGAAGAUCUAGUGGCGAACGGGUGAGUAACACGUGAGGAACCUACCCCGGUCUCUGGGAUAACAGCUGGAAACGGCUGCUAAUACCGGAUGCCCUCUCUGGGUCGCAUGGCCCGGCGAGGAAAGGAUUCUGGAUCGGGACGGCCUCGCGGCCUAUCAGCUAGUUGGUGGGGUAACGGCCUACCAAGGCAUCGACGGGUAGCUGGUCUGAGAGGAUGAUCAGCCACACUGGACUGAGACACGGCCCAGACUCCUACGGGAGGCAGCAGUGGGGAAUCUUGCGCAAUGGGCGAAAGCCUGACGCAGCAACGCCGCGUGGGGGAUGAAGGCCCUCGGGUUGUAAACCCCUUUCAGCAGGAACGAAUCUGACGGUACCUGCAGAAGAAGGUCCGGCCAACUACGUGCCAGCAGCCGCGGUAACACGUAGGGACCAAGCGUUGUCCGGAUUUAUUGGGCGUAAAGAGCUCGUAGGCGGUUCGGUAAGUCGGGUGUGAAAACUCCAGGCUCAACUUGGAGACGCCACCCGAUACUGCUGUGACUCGAGUCCGGUAGGGGAGUGGGGAAUUCCUGGUGUAGCGGUGAAAUGCGCAGAUAUCAGGAGGAACACCGGUGGCGAAGGCGCCACUCUGGGCCGGUACUGACGCUGAGGAGCGAAAGCGUGGGGAGCAAACAGGAUUAGAUACCCUGGUAGUCCACGCUGUAAACGUUGGGCACUAGGUGUGGGCUCUUACCAACGGAGUCCGUGCCGUAGCUAACGCAUUAAGUGCCCCGCCUGGGGAGUACGGCCGCAAGGUUAAAACUCAAAGGAAUUGACGG
rnacentral:rRNA from 1 species